AUGCCAAAGCGCAAGGUCUUGUCCCACGGCAGCGGCGCCGCCGAGGAACGGCCGGCGAAGCGAAAGCAACAACACCACCUGUACCUGGUGCUGGACGACUGGGAGGACGGCUACAGCGUCCGCAAGGUGGAACUCGACGAUUCCGACUCCGACUCCGAUGAGGAGCCGACGCCCUUCGCCGAGCCGCUGGUGGCCCGCUUCUGCGCCGUGCACGACCACUCGUACGCCUUCCUCACCCACGGCACCAAGAUCGUCGCCAUGAAGCCCCCCGAUGUCAGCCCCGCCAUCCCCGCCUUCGACACGGCCACCUCGGCGCUGGUCGCCAUGCCGUGGCCCAAGUUCCGCAUGAACUUCGGCCGACCCAUCCUCAUCUCCAUCGCCGGCAGGAUCUUCCUGUUCAUCAACGACACUCACUACCUCGGCGACCAGCCCCCGCCCCCGCCCCUGCCGUUGAUCUGGGGGCGCACAUACGUACCGCACCAGCCGCAGGAGCCGUGGGUCUGGACCGCCGUCGGCACGCCAGAGGCGCGUCUGCCAUUCACGGCCAGCUGCGGCCACUGCCACGCCUUGCACCCAGACGACCGCACACUGUUCGUUUCCGCCGCCUAUUGGACCGACGAAUCUGAGCAGGGGACCUUUUCCUUCGACACGGACCGCCUCGAGUGGACGCGCCACGGCGACUGGCAGCUACCUUUCCUCGGCCAAGCCUACUACGUCGCCGAGCUGGACGCGUGGGUCGGCAUCUGCCGACACAAGGGCGGCACCGGCCACCUCUGCUCCUCCGACGUCGUGCCCGUCGGCGCUGGGCCCACGACCCUGCCGCACUGGAAGCUCGCGGAGGAGAGGCUGUUCGACAGGGAAUGUCCGCGGCACCUGGGCGCCAGGCUCGUGCACAUGGGUGGCGCCAGGUUCUGUGUCGUCGAAUAUAUGUGGCACGAGGGCGACGACGAGAUGCCGUGCAAGGGCGACCCGGACGGGUGGUACGUCGGGCCUCCCCGUGUCGUGGUCCGCCUGACCACGUUUGGUGUCAAGUACGGCGUCGACGGGGAGCUGCGGCUCGAGUCGCGACGAGUUCGCAGUCGCAAUGUGUUCAACCGAGCUCAUGGCUUCCCGGAUACAUACCCCGUGGCAUUCUGGAUUUAG
rnacentral:rRNA from 1 species